GGGCCCGCACAAGCAGCGGAGCGUGUGGUUUAAUUCGAUGAUACGCGAAGAACCUUACCUGGGUUUGACAUACAGGUGGUAAUGAGCCGAGAGGCAAGUGACCCUUCGGGGAGCCUGAACAGGUGUUGCAUGGCUGUCGUCAGCUCGUGUCGUGAGAUGUUGGGUUAAGUCCCGCAACGAGCGCAACCCACGUUGCCAGUUACAAGUGUCUGGCGAGACAGCCGGUAUUAAACCGGAGGAAGGUGUGGAUGAAGUCAAGUCAGCAUGACCUUUAUAUCCAGGGCUACACACACGCUACAAUGGCCGGUACAAUGGGCAGCGACACUGCGAGGUGGAGCGAAUCCUGAAAGCCGGUCUCAGUUCGGAUAGCAGUCUGCAACUCGACUGCUUGAAGGUGGAGUUGCUAGUAAACGCGCGUCAGCCAUAGUGCGUUGAAUACGUUCCCGGGCCUU
rnacentral:rRNA from 1 species